rnacentral:rRNA from 1 species
AACGAACGCUGGCGGCAUGCCUAACACAUGCAAGUCGAACGAGACCUUCGGGUCUAGUGGCGCACGGGUGCGUAACGCGUGGGAAUCUGCCCUUGGGUUCGGAAUAACUCGCCGAAAGGCGUGCUAAUACCGGAUGAUGACGUAAGUCCAAAGAUUUAUCGCCCAAGGAUGAGCCCGCGUUGGAUUAGCUAGUUGGUGAGGUAAAGGCUCACCAAGGCGACGAUCCAUAGCUGGUCUGAGAGGAUGAUCAGCCACACUGGGACUGAGACACGGCCCAGACUCCUACGGGAGGCAGCAGUGGGGGAUAUUGGACAAUGGGCGAAAGCCUGAUCCAGCAAUGCCGCGUGAGUGAUGAAGGCCUUAGGGUUGUAAAGCUCUUUUACCCGGGAUGAUAAUGACCGUACCGGGAGAAUAAGCUCCGGCUAACUCCGUG